GGAGGGGUGGCAGAGCGGUUGAAUGCACCGGUCUUGAAAACCGGCAAGGUGAGAGCCUUCGAGGGUUCGAAUCCCUCCUCCUCCGCCA
rnacentral:tRNA from 1 species